rnacentral:misc_RNA from 1 species
GGAAAAUGACACGAGUAAUAACAAUCAAUUGCUUGCAAGAUCUUAAGUAUAGUAUAGUAGAAGUGACUCCUCAUACGUAACUAUCUAUUAGCGACUUCCUCAUUUCUUCAACAAUGGAACUUGGUUGAGCCUCCCUCAAUUUGAAAACGCUCUCAAUGACCGAUAACUCGGUGGCAGUGGUGUCAGAACCACAAAAUGCAGUCCAGUCAUUUGCUGUCAAUCCAGCAGCAAUCACUUCACUUCCACGAUUCACGGUUCCAGCAACUAAAGGGACUUGAAGAAGGGUUGAUAGCUCAUCCAAAUCUUCAACAGAUGUAUGUGGAUGAACCAAGCCGCCCCUAUUCGUGAAAUUACAGUAGCUUCCCACGAGAACGUUGCCUGCUACUGUCUGCCUAAAGACCUCUACUCCAAGAACAUCAGCAAUGAGCUCUUCAGUUUCCCGAUCAAGAUCAGUAUGUGUGAGAGCAACAUGAUCGUUACAAGCAAUUGUAUUCCCCAGAGCAGACAGUCUCUCUUGUAUACGUUGAACAACAACUUGGUCAGGUAGACUGUUCCUCAAAUGCUGAAGUUCUUGGUCAGUAGUGGUGUGUGGUACAAGAAGUCCAUUUUUGUUUCCAGCACAAAGA